AUGAGGGAGCAGGGGCGCCGGGGCGGCGUCAUCAGGUCGCUGCUCGGCGUCGCCAGGCUCGCGGAGGACGACGGCGCUGGCGCCGAGGAGGGCGGCUCGAAGAAGGAGGACGGCGGCGGCGCGGAGAGGAAGGCGGUGGUGCGGGUGGUGGCGGCCGACAUGCCGCCCGCGCUGCAGCGGCGCGCGUUCCGCUGCGCCCGCGACGAGCUCGCCGGGAUGCCGCACUUCCCGCGCCGCCUCGAGCCCAAGCGCCUCGCGCUCGCCCUCAAGAAGGAGUUCGACACCGCCUACGGGGCGGCUUGGCACUGCAUCGUGGGGACGAGCUUCGGUUCAUACGUCACUCACGCCAAGGGCGGGUUCUUGUACUUUUCUGUUGAUAAGGUCUACAUACUGCUCUUCAGGACGGCGGUGGAGCCCCCGCCCCAUUGA
rnacentral:rRNA from 1 species